rnacentral:misc_RNA from 1 species
CCACACUCAGUGACUUGUCUAUGUGCUCGCCCCUGCCGUCCUUUAUCGAAGAAAACCCUAAUUCAUGCUCGACGAUGUUCGAAAUUAAACCUCAAGCUGGUCUUGAAUGGAUCCAAGGCUACGUUUCCGGUCAACGCAAACAGCAUUUCAGCGAUGCGCCACUUGGUUUCGGCCGUUGCCAGAUCUGAGCCAGAUAGGCUUGGCCAGGAAGACGUUAAAGAGGCAGUCGACAAUGGCUAUAAAUUACCGGAAAAAGAGGGAAUUGUCUCAGAGCCUCAACAGAAAGGGAGUCAGUUGAGGAAAAGAAUUGUUUUGGGGCUUGGGAUUGGAUUUUCUGCUGGAGGUGUUGUCUUGGCUGGAGGAUGGGUUUUCACUUUGGCCUUCGCAGCUAUUGUAUUUGUUGGUGCACGUGAGUACUUUGAAUUGGUUAGAAGUCGUGGAAUUGCAGCAGGGAUGACACCUCCUCCUCGUUAUGCCUCACGAGUUUGCUCUGUUAUAUGUGCUGUCAUGCCUCUAAUUACCUUGUAUUUUGGUCAGAUUGACAUUCCAGUGACUUUUGCUGCUUUUGUUGUGGCAAUGUCAUUGCUUCUGCAAAGAGGGAAUCCUCGCUUUGCUCAGCUUAGUAGUACUAUGUUUGGGUUAUUUUAUUGCGGCUAUCUUCCUUGUUUCUGGGUCAAGCUUCGGUGUGGGUUGGCAGUCCCAGCCUUGAACACUAGAAUAGGAGCAUUAUGGCCUGUUCUUUUUGGAGGCCAAGCUCAUUGGACUGUGGGCCUUGUGGCAACCCUGAUUUGUUUUAGCUGCAUCAUAGCUGCUGAUACGUUUGCUUUUAUAGGUGGCAAGGCAUUUGGGAGGACACCAUUAACUAGUAUUAGUCCAAAGAAGACAUGGGAAGGGACUAUUGCAGGCUUGGGUGGCUGUAUAGCAACUUCUGUGAUACUAUCAAAGAUUUUGUCCUGGCCAACAUCAUUGCUAAGUGCAAUAGCUUUUGGGUUUCUGAAUUUCUUUGGGUCAAUAUUUGGUGAUCUUACGGAAUCAAUGAUCAAACGAGAUGCAGGUGUCAAGGACUCUGGUUCUCUCAUACCUGGACACGGUGGAAUACUGGACCGAGUGGACAGCUACAUUUUCACGGGUGCACUUGCAUACUCAUUUGUCAAAACUUUCCUACCACUUUAUGGAGUUUGACAUGAAAACCAUUGACCAAUAGCAAGAAAAAAAUACGAAAGACUGAACUUUUUGAGUUUGCCUCAUUCUAGAAAGCUAAACCAGAAACGAGCAAAUACUUGAUUAAAGUUGGAGCAUCUAUGGGGCAGACAGAAAAGUUUUCUUCUAAAAAUCUCAUAGAAGGGCACUGAAGGCUGCAUAAGCAACUCUACCAUGUUUGCCUGAUCAUCAAGUGCAAACACGUUAAUGCCUUGUUUUUAUCCUUGUGGAAUUGCGUGAGGUCAAUUAUGCUUUGCUUGCUAAUCAGAUGUGGUGGUCCUCUGAGAUAACAUGGAUUAAUGAUGAUAACUACAGUUGAGGUAGAGCCUUUGUUGGCUGUGAACAUUUUAUUAUUUCAUGCGACAGCCCAUGUCAGCUUGCCAGUGUUAAUUUGCUAUACAUAU